CNNUGCCGCGUGUAGGAAGACUGCCCUAUGGGUUGUAAACUACUUUUAUACAGGAAGAAUAAGAUCUACGUGUAGAUUGAUGACGGUACUGUAAGAAUAAGGACCGGCUAACUCCGUGCCAGCAGCCGCGGUAAUACGGAGGGUCCGAGCGUUAUCCGGAAUUAUUGGGUUUAAAGGGUCCGUAGGCGGGCUGUUAAGUCAGAGGUGAAAUGCUGCGGCUCAACCGUAUGCACUGCCUUUGAUACUGGCGGUCUUGAGUUAUAGUGAAGUGGCUAGAAUAUGUAGUGUAGCGGUGAAAUGCAUAGAUAUUACAUAGAAUACCGAUUGCGAAGGCAGGUCACUAACUAUACACUGACGCUGAUGGACGAAAGCGUGGGUAGCGAACAGGAUUAGAUACCCUGGGGUAG
rnacentral:rRNA from 1 species